UACGUAGGGUGCAAGCGUUGUCCGGAAUUAUUGGGCGUAAAGAGCUCGUAGGCGGUUUGUCGCGUCUGCUGUGAAAACUCGGGGCUUAACUCCGGGCCUGCAGUGGGUACGGGCAGACUAGAGUGCGGUAGGGGAGACUGGAAUUCCUGGUGUAGCGGUGAAAUGCGCAGAUAUCAGGAGGAACACCGGUGGCGAAGGCGGAUCUCUGGGCCUUGCCUGACGCUGAGGCGCGAAGCUAGGGGAGCGAACAGG
rnacentral:rRNA from 1 species